UUGGAGGGCAAGUCUGGUGCCAGCAGCCGCGGUAAUUCCAGCUCCAAUAGCGUAUAUUAAAGUUGUUGCAGUUAAAAAGCUCGUAGUUGAAUUUCGGGAUUAGUACGUCGGUCGUGCCUUAGGUACGUACUGGUGUUACUGGUUCCUACCUUCUGACGAACCAUCAUGUCAUUAAUUUGGUGUGGUGGGGAAUCAGGACUGUUACUUUGAAAAAAUUAGAGUGUUUAAAGCAGGCUCGCGCUUGAAUACAUUAGCAUGGAAUAAUGAAAUAGGACGUUGAUCCUAUUUUGUUGGUUUCUAGGAUUGACGUAAUGAUUAAUAGGGAUAGUUGGGGGCAUUAGUAUUCAAUUGUCAGAGGUGAAAUUCUUGGAUUUAUUGAAGACUAACUACUGCGAAAGCAUUUGCCAAGGAUGUUUUCAUUAAUCAAGAACGAAAGUUAGGGGAUCGAAGACGAUCAGAUACCGUCGUAGUUUUAACCAUAAACUAUGCCGACUAGGGAUCGGAUGAUGUUAUUUUUAAUGACUCAUUCGGCACCUUACGGGAAAC
rnacentral:rRNA from 1 species